rnacentral:rRNA from 1 species
UCCUACGGGUGGCUGCAGUGGGGAAUAUUGGACAAUGGGGGCAACCCUGAUCCAGCAAUGCCGCGUGAGUGAUGAAGGCCUUCGGGUUGUAAAGCUCUUUUGGCGGGGACGAUGAUGACGGUACCCGCAGAAUAAGCCCCGGCUAACUUCGUGCCAGCAGCCGCGGUAAUACGAAGGGGGCAAGCGUUGUUCGGAAUUACUGGGCGUAAAGGGCGCGUAGGCGGCUUACCAAGUCAGGCGUGAAAUUCCCGGGCUCAACCUGGGGGCUGCGCUUGAUACUGGUGAGCUUGAAUGCGGGAGAGGAUAGUGGAAUUCCCAGUGUAGAGGUGAAAUUCGUAGAUAUUGGGAAGAACACCGGUGGCGAAGGCGGCUAUCUGGCCCGUUAUUGACGCUGAGGCGCGAAAGCGUGGGGAGCAAACAGGAUUAGAUACCCGGGUAGUC